GGAAAACAAAAUGGAGAUUUUACUCCUCUUUCUCUGCAUCUUUUCAGCGUUUAAGCACGGAGUCCUCUCCGAAAUUCAGUUGACUCAGACUGGCCCAGGAACAGUCAGACCUGGGGAAUCCAUCCGACUGACAUGUGCAGUCUCUGGUUACACCAUCACUUCUGGCUAUUAUUGGAAUUGGAUCCGCCAGCAACCCAACAAGGGGCUAGAAUGGAUUGGAAGGGGAUACUACAGCGGUUCUACUUGGUACACUAAUUAUGCUUCAGGCAUCCAGAGCAGGGUCUCCAUCUCUACUGAUUCCUCCAAGAAUGAGUUUUACCUUCAGCUGAGCUCCAUGACGGCUGCAGACACGGCCACCUAUUACUGUGCUCGAGAUUUUGAGCUCCAGGCUCAGUACACAAUAUAUACCAUCAAUAAUUUUGCAGGGAAUUCUACUUAA